CACGUAGGCACCAAGCGUUGUCCGGAUUUAUUGGGCGUAAAGAGCUCGUAGGCGGUUCGGUAAGUCGGGUGUGAAAACUUUGGGCUCAACCCAAAGCGUGCAUUCGAUACUGCCGUGACUAGAGUUCGGUAGGGGAGCGGGGAAUUCCUAGUGUAGCGGUGGAAUGCGCAGAUAUCAGGAGGAACACCGGUGGCGAAGGCGGGUCUCUGGGCAGUAACUGACGCUGAGGAGCGAAAGCGUGGGGAGCGAACAGG
rnacentral:rRNA from 1 species